ensembl:lncRNA
GGGAAAGAUUGAAGGCAGGAGGAGAAGGGGGCGACAGAGGCUGAGAUGGUUGGAUGGCAUCACCAACUCAGUGGACAUGAGUUUGAAAUCUCGAGGGAUCUGACACCUUUCCUGUAUUUCAUUGGCGGUGCUUCUACACCCGUCUGUGUCUGUGCGACCACGGGUUUUAUUCAGCUGUUAGUUCCACGUGCAUGAUGGUAGCUGGAAGCUGUAAUCGACACACGUGAAGGCAAAUUGAUGCAACCGUAGAGAGGCAGCACAGAGGAAGUCGGGAGCUGAGACACAGGAAGAGCGCAGGGACGAGAGAGCCUUCCUCCCCGUUCCUGUCCCUCGUUCCUUGGGAAGCUGAGCUGAGCUUCCUGCCUGGGAUUCCAUGAGAUACCACUGAAACUGUACAGAUUUCUCUGUCUCUCUCAAAACUAGCUUGAGGGAGUUUUGGUUCCCUCAGAGCAAAACUCUACCAGCAGGAGUCAUGUCUAAGCCUUGGAAGACUGGCUUCAAGCUGUAGAUCCAGGGAAACAGUGUUAAGAUUUUUCUCGGACUUUUUCCUCUCUCCUGACCCCUAGAUUGUUU